rnacentral:rRNA from 1 species
UACGUAGGGGGCGAGCGUUGUCCGGAAUCAUUGGGCGUAAAGCGCGUGUAGGCGGCCCGGUAAGUCCGCUGUGAAAGUCCAGGGCUCAACCCUGGGAUGCCGGUGGAUACUGUCGGGCUCGAGUCCGGAAGAGGCGAGUGGAAUUCCUGGUGUAGCGGUGAAAUGCGCAGAUAUCAGGAGGAACACCAAUGGCGAAGGCAGCUCGCUGGAACGGUACUGACGCUGAGGCGCGAAAGCGUGGGGAGCAAACAGG